rnacentral:rRNA from 1 species
AUUGAACGCUGGCGGCAUGCUUUACACAUGCAAGUCGAACGGGCUUAGGUGCUUGCACCUAGGUUAGUGGCGAACGGGUGAGUAAUGCAUCGGAACGUACCAUUGAGUGGGGGAUAACUAUCCGAAAGGAUAGCUAAUACCGCAUAUUCUCUCCGGAGGAAAGCAGGGGAUCUUAGGACCUUGCGCUCUUUGAGCGGCCGAUGUCAGAUUAGCUAGUUUGUGGGGUAACGGCCCACCAAGGCGACGAUCUGUAGCGGGUCUGAGAGGAUGAUCCGCCAAACUGGGAGUGAGACACGGCCCAGACUCCGACGGGAGGCAGCAGUGGGGAAUUUUGGACAAUGGGGGCAACCCUGUUCCAGCCAUGCCGGGUGAGUGAAGAAGGCCUUCGGGUUGUAAAGCUCUUUCGGCCGGGAAGAAAUCGCGUUGGAUAAUACCCAGCGUGGAUGACGGUACCGGACUAAGAAGCACCGGCUAACUACGUGCCAGCAGCCGCGGUAA